CAAAACAUUUUGAGAGCCACUACCCCAUUCUUUUUCGAGGAGUCAAUGGAACAGUCGCCUAUGAAUUCAUCAUUGACUUGAGGGCUUUCAAGGUAUCUCAAAUCAUACUCUUCCUAUGGAUUCCCAAUUUUGUAAGUUUACUUUGGCUUACAGUGAGUCAUUUUAAUUGUAGAACACAGCUGGUAUACAACAUGUGUUUGACAAAAUGUCUUACUCACUUUUGCAUUUUUUCUUUUUUUGAUAAUUCGAUAGUUAUACUCUUACAUUAGUUUUAGUCUACUUCAUGUUUAAGAGUGAUUUGGGAGGGCAAAGAGUAUUUGAUCUCAAUCAGUUCUGAUUGUGUUUGUUUUGUUUGUGAAGUUAAUCUAGGUAUAUUAGAUCAUGCUCCACUUAUAUAUUUGGGUGAGUUGAAGCAUCCUUUCCAAGUUUGACUAAAUGGUUGGUUGUCUCUGCAAAAGUGGUCUGGAAUCCAUGGGAUAAGAAAUGAAAAUCAAUGGUAGAUUUCGGUGAUGAGUUGUACAAACAGAUGCUUUGUGUUGAUGGAGCAGCAAUUGAGAAACCUAUCACUUUGAAGCCAGAGGAGGAAUGGACAGGGCGAUUGCAGCUCUUAGUUUUGCCUUCGAGUUUCUGCAGCGAGUACCUCAAUUUUUAGGAUAGGUCCUUUGAGGAAUGCUGCAAAAUUUCAAGAGCACAAUGUGGUUCUUUUGUUCUUUUUCUGUCCUUAUAGGAACCUUAGUUAAAUCUCAUGUAAUAGCUCUCAACUCUUUUUCAAUAAAAUAAUAGCUCUCAAGUUGUAGAAA